rnacentral:rRNA from 1 species
GAAACCGUGUACGUACAAGCAGUGGGAGCCCCACCACCAAAGCAUUCUCUGGUGUUGAAGGCCCUGCAAAGCAGCAUCGCGGUGGCGGAGCGUCGUUUGCGACGCCCAACACACAAAACAAGCGGUGAGUGCUUUGGGGUGGGGUGACUGCGUACCUUUUGUAUAAUGGGUCAGCGACUUAUAUUCUGUAGCAAGGUUAACCGAAUAGGGGAGCCGGAGGGAAACCGAGUCUUAAUUGGGCGUUAAGUUGCAGGGUAUAGACCCGAAACCCGGUGAUCUAGCCAUGGGCAGGUUGAAGGUUGGGUAACACUAACUGGAGGACCGAACCGACUAAUGUUGAAAAAUUAGCGGAUGACCUGUGGCUGGGGGUGAAAGGCCAAUCAAACCGGGAGAUAGCUGGUUCUCCCCGAAAGCUAUUUAGGUAGCGCCUCGUGAAUUCAUCUCCGGGGGUAGAGCACUGUUUCGGCUAGGGGGCCAUCCCGGCUUACCAACCCGAUGCAAACUGCGAAUACCGGAGAAUGUUAUCACGGGAGACACACGGCGGGUGCUAACGUCCGUCGUGAAGAGGGAAACAACCCAGACCGCCAGCUAAGGUCCCAAAGUCAUGGUUAAGUGGGAAACGAUGUGGGAAGGCCCAGACAGCCAGGAUGUUGGCUUAGAAGCAGCCAUCAUUUAAAGAAAGCGUAAUAGCUCACUGGUCGAGUCGGCCUGCGCGGAAGAUGUAACGGGGCUAAACCAU